rnacentral:rRNA from 1 species
GACGAACGCUGGCGGCGUGCUUAACACAUGCAAGUCGAACGGAAAGGCCCUGCUUUUGGGGGGUGCUCGAGUGGCGAACGGGUGAGUAACACGUGAGUAACCUGCCCUUGACUUUGGGAUAACUUCAGGAAACAGGGGCUAAUACCGGAUAGGAGCUCCUGCUGCAUGGUGGGGGUGGGAAAGUUUCGGCGGUUGGGGAUGGACUCGCGGCUUAUCAGCUUGUUGGUGGGGUAGUGGCUUACCAAGGCUUUGACGGGUAGCCGGCCUGAGAGGGUGGCCUGCCCCGUUGGGAUUGCGCUACGGCCCAGACUCCUCCGGGAGGCAGCGGUGGGGAAUAUUGCGCAGUGGGCGGAAGCCUGAUGCGGCGCCGCCGCGUCCGGUAUGACAGCCUUCGGGUUGUAAACCGCUUUCGCCUGUCACGAAGCGUGAGUGACGGUACUGGGUAAAGAAGCACCGGCUAACUACGUG